rnacentral:lncRNA from 1 species
GCUUAGGUAGGACUGUCCCUGUCCCAGGUGCCUUAACUAUGUUCUGGAGGAGCUGAAGCACAGCACAAAGGCCGAGGUGAUGGUGGCUUCCCACAAUGAGGACACCGUGAGCUUUACGUUGUGCAGGAUGAAGGAGUUAGGCCUGCAUCCUGCUGAUGGUCAGGUGUGCUUCGGACAGCUGCUGGGGAUGUGUGACCAAAUUAGCUUCCCACUAGGCCAGGCAGGCUUCCCUGUGUACAAGUAUGUACCCUACGGGCCUGUGAUGGAGGUGCUCCCGUACCUGUCCCGCCGUGCCCUGGAGAACAGCAGCAUCAUGAAGGGUGCUCAGCGAGAGAGGCAGCUGCUAUGGCAGGAGCUCUGCAGGCGGCUGCGCACAGGCAGCCUCUUCCACCAUCCGGCCUAGUCACUGCAGGGGCCAUGCCUACCUAUUCCACUCAACUUGUUACCUCUGCGGCUCCAGGCAGGGCUUAGUCCAACCUGCCCAGACACGGUUCACCUUUUUAUGCCCAAGCUUUCGGGGUGCUGAGGUAGGGGCUGCCUUCCUGCACCC